rnacentral:rRNA from 1 species
GAUGAACGCUGGCGGCGUGCCUAAUACAUGCAAGUCGAGCGAACAGACGAGGAGCUUGCUCCUCUGACGUUAGCGGCGGACGGGUGAGUAACACGUGGAUAACCUACCUAUAAGACUGGGAUAACUUCGGGAAACCGGAGCUAAUACCGGAUAAUAUCUUGAACCGCAUGGUUCAAUAGUGAAAGACGGUUUUGCUGUCCCUUAUAGAUGGAUCCGCGCCGCAUUAGCUAGUUGGUAAGGUAACGGCCUACCAAGGCAACGAUGCGUAGCCGACCUGAGAGGGUGAUCGGCCACACUGGAACUGAGACACGGUCCAGACUCCUACGGGAGGCAGCAGUAGGGAAUCUUCCGCAAUGGGCGAAAGCCUGACGGAGCAACGCCGCGUGAGUGAUGAAGGUCUUCGGAUCGUAAAACUCUGUUAUUAGGGAAGAACAAAUGUGUAAGUAACUAUGCACGUCUUGACGGUACCUAAUCAGAAAGCCACGGCUAACUACGUG